GAUGAACGCUGGCGGCGUGCCUAAUACAUGCAAGUCGAGCGACCGGACGAUAAGCUUUCUUCUCUGAUGUUAGCGGCUGACGGGUGAGUAACACGUGGAUAACCUUCUUCUUUUACUUGGAUAACUUCGUGAAACCGGAGCUAAUACCGGAUGAUAUUUUGUACCGCAUGGUUCAAAAGUUAAAGACGGUCUUGCUGUCACUUAUAGAUGGAUUCGCGCUGCAUUAGCUAGUUGGUAAGGUAACGGCUUACCAAGGCAACGAUGCAUAGCCGAUCUGAGAGGGUGAUCGGCCACACUGGAACUGAGACACGGUCCAGACUCCUACGGGAGGCAGCAGUAGGGAAUAUUCCGCAAUGGGCGAAAGCCUGACGGAGCAACGCCGCGUGAGUGAUGAAGGUCUUCGGAUCGUAAAACUCUGUUAUUAGGGAAGAACAGAUGUGGAAGUAACUGUGCACAUCUUGACGGUACCUAAUGAGAAAGCCACGGCUAACUACGUG
rnacentral:rRNA from 1 species